AAUGUUUGUGUGCGGUGUGUGUGUGUCGUUGUUGUUGGAGGUUUAUUUUCUUUUAACAUUUACAAUGUGUAUAGUCCUUUGCUCUUGUUUUGUUUUGUUUGCAUGUUUGUUGUUCUCGUUGUCUUUAGGGGUUUUGGGAUGCAGGAUCAAGGAGGAGGAAAGGCUGUAAAAAGGGGGCGGGGAAGGGGAGGGGCAAAGUUAAGUGCGAAACAAUUGAAAGAUGAAGCACACGAAUACCACAAUCUGCCAUCAAUUUCCGUCUUCACCAAUUAUUACUACCCAUUUUGUUUUCACUCGCGGAUUUUCUACUUUCGAUUUCCAUUUUCUGUCAGUUGCUCAUCAUAAUGAGCCUCGUAAGUUGCGUGUGGAAUCUGGCUCAGCCAGAUGGGAGAAGCCCAUUCCCACGCCAUGAUGUUGCUUUUUCUGUGAAAGGUGAAAACCUAUGUCUUUGGAGGAAAAAAUGUUGAACUUCGCAACUCAGAGAAUGCUGCACUAUUCACCGUGGGGCUCUGAAAUGGGCGAAACUCUGUCAAGGAGGAGAUAUUCCACUGGAGAGGGCAGGGCACAUGAUGUGAUGUGAGCAUGCUGCCUGUGUGGUGAAGGAUGCUGUGUAUGUGUUUGGAGGCCACAAUGGUGCUGAGACCUGGUACAAUGAUAUCUUCUCAUUCAACACAGGUCAGUUUUAAUAGUUAAGAGUCUCUUUAAAAUCAGCAUGGCUGACUGAACAGCAAGAAAUCCUACUUUCUGAUGGCGACAAUGGACAUCAGGUGUAUAAUAUAUUAAGACCAAUAAGCUUAGAAGUCGCAUAGUGAGAGAACCCGUUGUCAACUAACCCUUAGAUGUAGUGGGGAAACACAAAAGAAGAAAAAGACAACCUAUCUUACCUCUCUUGUUUCUUCAUUUAAGGAGCCACCAAACCUUAGAAUAAAAGAAUCCAGAUGAAUUUCGAUGUUCUGUUCUAUGUGAACCACUCUCGAUAUAUUGAACAAUUUUGAUAGUUUGAAUGAUGCCAUUUGAAAAACAAUCAGUGUUUGUGGAGAAGUAAUUAGGUGCUUCAUAACUGCACACAGGGAAUCUAACUUAAAUUCCAAUGUGGGGAGAAUUUUUAUCAAGCAUCUCCAUCUUUCUGCAGGGAUAUUGUAUCCUUCUCAUCCCAGGUUGCUCUGACAAUCAGGGUCAAAGCCCCCUCCCUCUCCCCCAAAUGAUCUAAAUUUUGUCAAUGCUGGCAUUAAAUACAUACAUAAAAAAAGAGUUCAUAACUCAUGUGACAUAUGGUAGAAUGAGUAACAUGCUUCAUCGUUCUUGUUGAUGUCAGUCUUAGCAAAGGUUGAGCUUUUGCCCUAUAGUUCAGCACUAUGAAAUGAUAUGUGUAGUU